rnacentral:rRNA from 1 species
AGCGAACGCUGGCGGCAGGCCUAACACAUGCAAGUCGAACGAAGUCUUCGGACUUAGUGGCGGACGGGUGAGUAACACGUGGGAACGUACCUUUUGGUUCGGAACAACUCAGGGAAACUUGAGCUAAUACCGGAUGAGCCCUUAGGGGGAAAGAUUUAUCGCCGAAAGAGCGGCCCGCGUUAGAUUAGCUAGUUGGUGAGGUAAAGGCUCACCAAGGCUACGAUCUAUAGCUGGUCUGAGAGGAUGAUCAGCCACACUGGGACUGAGACACGGCCCAGACUCCUCCGGGAGGCAGCAGUGGGGAAUCUUGCGCAAUGGGCGAAAGCCUGACGCAGCCAUGCCGCGUGAAUGAUGAAGGUCUUAGGAUUGUAAAAUUCUCUUACCAGGGACGAUAAUGACGGUACCUGGAGAAAAAGCCCCGGCUAACUUCGUGCCAGCCGCCGCCGUAAGAC